CCACAUCAUGGAACUGCAUGAACUCAUGAACGCAUAGCGCAGUGGGGUCAUGCGGGGACCCUGGGACGUACGUGCCCAAAUCCCUUGGUCAAAUAAAGUUUUACCUCCUCCUCCUCCCCGUAGUCUCACGCCUAUGCUCCUAUUUCCGGCGCUUUGUUCGCAAUUUUGCAUCUAUCAUGUCAGCGUUAACCCAUCUUCCUUGCGGCGACGGGAACCUCUCCACCUGGUCCCCUGCAUGUGACGUCGCCUUCGCUACACUGCGCCGCCUGCUCACCUCCCCACCUAUUCUUCGCCACUUCGAUCCGACGGCUCCUACCGAAGUGCACACAGACGCCAGCGGGGUCGGGUUUGGCGCUGUCCUCGCUCAACGAAAGCCCGGCUAUUCAGAAUACGUCGUA